rfam:Ipomoea nil DNA, scaffold: scaffold2701, cultivar: Tokyo-kokei standard.
UCGACCAUAGUUCAGUUGGUAGAGUGGAGGACUGUAGUUUAAUUAAUCUAAAUUGGAAAUCCUUUGGUCGCUGGUUCGAAUCCGGCAGGUCGGA